rnacentral:rRNA from 1 species
GACGAGUAGGUCAUCUGGACUGCAUGGCACUCAAGUACGAUACUACCCGUCAGUGGGACAUCAUAGAGGGUGACAAUCCCGUCUUUGGUGCUGAUGUUCGAGUCCUUUACGAUGCCUAUCUCAGGAGAGUCGAGUAGUUUGGGAUUUGCUGCUUGAACAUGGGAGGUAGACACCUUCUAAAGCUAAAUAUUGGCAAGAGACCGAUAGUGGACAAGUACCGCAAGGGAAAGAUGAAAUAGCACUCUGUAAAGGGAGUCAAAAGGCGUGAAAUUGUUGCGAGAGAAGCGAUUCAAGUCAGCUUGACUAGGCCCAUGAUGACAUCCGUCCUCUGGACUAGUCUCGCCAGCGGUCUCAUCUUAUUACGGUUUGACUAAGGUGCGGUACAUCCUCAACGCACGGCUGGUGGAAUGGCUUGCAAUCGACCCGUCUUGAAACACGGACCAAGGAGUCUAACAUGCAUGCAAGUAUAAGGGUGACAAACCCGUAUGCGCAAUGAAAGUGACUUUCAGUGAUUGUUGUGUGGCUUGACGACCAGACAGGAAAUAUCAUGUCCCUCGGAUGGCCACUGCCCAAGUUCUGUGGUACGAACCCAUGAACAUGGAGACGGAGCAUGCAUGCUAGGACCCGAAAGAUGGUGAACUAUGCCUGGACAGAGCGAAGCCAAAGGAAACUCUGGUGGAGGCUCGUAGCGAUUCUGACGUGCAAAUCGAUCGUCUGAUCUGGGUAUAGGGGCGAAAGACUAAUCGAACCAUCUCAUAGCUGGUUCCUGCC